GUAGGUGAACCUGCGGAAGGAUCAUUACAACGUAUCCACGUAUCAACCAACUGUGAACCUCCCAUUCGGAGCAAAACUUAGUGUGUCGUUAAUGACCGAGCUGUAAAGUGGUACUUUCUCAGAUGGAGAGCCGGACCUAAACAGUCUAGCUUCUGAAAGUUCCCGUUCGGUCGUCAGUUCUUCGGAGCUGAGGCGUCCUUUUGCUUUGAAUGCGGUAUAAAUGUCCGUCCAUCUGCGGUCGCCAAUUGUU
rnacentral:misc_RNA from 1 species